AGUGUCAAAGCCAGCUGUUUGGCAGAUGUGUUCUUCAGCAGAGCAGAUGAACAUCAGCUGCUCCUGUGAGGGAGACAAAGUAGAGUUCAUACUGACCUUGAACGGUCUCUUACUGAUGCAGACCAGAGGCCACAGCCAGUCCCCGAGCAAAAGGACAGCCAACAUGGAGUCAGUGGCUGAUAGUGUCGCUGUCCAAAAUGAACCAAGCGUUUCAAAUGUUACAAUCAGCAUACACUGUCAGCAAACAGGAGACUUGAUGUGUCGUGUUUCAAACAACGUUAGCAGAGAGGAAACAGUUAUUCACCUAACAAACUGCAAAGAUUGUGAUCCUUCCUUCCCUGUUGUGGCUGGGGUUGUGACUGCUAUCACUUUUCUUAUUCUUCUUGUGGCUUUGUUUCUUUAUGGGAUGAAAGGUCGUUGCCUUCCAAGACCCGCGACUCUUAAUGAUGACCCGGUUUUAUUCAUUUCUUUAGGUAGUCCUGAAGAAGACAUAGUCUACGCAGAUGUGAGAAUAAUAAAGAAUACAAGACAUUCUCGUCCCAACCACAGUGCAACAUGAAUUUCUCCUAAAACUUUAUUGAAUGUCAGCACCAUUUAAAAUUCAAAAUGAAUCUUGAUCAACCUGGGUGAGGCUGACUAGAAUCACCACCUGCCGGUUUAAGUUUUUUAUUAACUUGUCUAUUGUAUACAGGCUAUUCAUCUAUAUUCCUUACAUUUCUUAGCUACUACAAUACAAUUGUGACAUUUUAAAUGUCAUCAUUUAAUUAACUUCUAAAAUUAACAUGCUCU